rnacentral:rRNA from 1 species
CAGUCGCCGCGGUAAAACGGAGGGUGCAAGCGUUAAUCGGAAUUACUGGGCGUAAAGCGCACGCAGGCGGUCUGACUAGUCAGAUGUGAAAUCCCCGGGCUUAACCUGGGAACUGCAUUUGAAACUGUCAGGCUGGAGUCUUGUAGAGGGGGGUGGAAUUCCAGGUGUAGCAGUGAAAUGCGUAGAGAUCUGGAGGAAUACCGGUGGCGAAGGCGGCCCCCUGGACAAAGACUGACGCUCAGGUGCGAAAGCGUGGGGAGCAAACAGGAUUAGAUACCCCUGUAGUCCCUGUCCCUUAUAC